rnacentral:sRNA from 1 species
UAAAAUUACAAUGGGAAUGGUGCAGUAUUCUAGUCGGUUCUCCGUUUCUGAAGGCGGGCCUAAAAAUCCGCUAAAGGGCACAUCGAUGAAGUUCCUUGUGUCGGCUUGAGGCGCCCAGCCUUGGGUCGGUGCUGGGAGUUAAGGUUGCAGGGCGAUCCACAAAGGCAUGUGGGCGAUGACCCUGCUUCCGCGGAGGCCCAUCUCUGUGGUAAGUCUUAGCCAAAGCAAUUACCAUGGACUGGGGUAUGAACCUACGUAAUAGGAGCGAGGGAAUCUUAUUCGUAGCGUAGCCUGCCUUGAGUGGUGUUCGAGGGGAUUGUAGUUGUAAAUACAAUACUAGGUGGCCACUGGUAUUUGUGUUUUUAUCUGCAUGAAAUCGGCACUGCAAAAGAGGCUAGGGAGCGGUUAAGAGCUGUUGAGGAAAUCUCCUAGACUGUUCCAGAGGACGUUUAAAGGGGAUUAUAGUACGGACUAAGUGGCAAUCCAGUCUAGCUGUUGGUAACAACGCUAAGAUGCGUUUAAAGGGGAACCGCCAGAAUGGCAACAUUCGGUACGUAUCUGGGAAAACCUACUGGACCUAAGCCGUAGUUUUUACCUUUUAGGCGACCAUUCCACAUACAUAUUUA